rnacentral:rRNA from 1 species
UGGGCAACCUGCCCCCGACCCUGGGAUAACCCCGGGAAACCGGAGCUAAUACCGGAUACUCUCCUCUGACCACCUGGUCGGAUGAGGAAAGGUCCGCCGGUCGGGGAUGGGCCCGCGGCCUAUCAGCUUGUUGGUGGGGUAACGGCCUACCAAGGCAUCGACGGGUAGCUGGUCUGAGAGGACGACCAGCCACACUGGGACUGAGACACGGCCCAGACUCCUGCGGGAGGCA